UACGUAGGUGGCAUCGUAAGUCAAAGGUGAAAGCCCUCGGCUCAACCGAGGAAUUGCCUUUGAAACUGCUUUGCUUGAGUCCGGGAGGGGGGAGCGGAAUUCCCAGUGUAGCGGUGAAAUGCGUAGAUACUGGGAGGAACACCGGUGGCGAAGGCGGCUCCCUGGACCGGUACUGACACUGAGGUGCGAAAGCGUGGGUAGCAAACA
rnacentral:rRNA from 1 species